rnacentral:rRNA from 1 species
CUGGCUCAGGAUGAACGCUAGCGGCAGGCUUAACACAGUGCAAGUCGAGGGGCAGCGCGGGUAGCAAUACCUGGCGGCGACCGGCGAAAGGGUGCGUAACACGUGAGCAACUUGCCCCGAUCCGGGGGAUAGGAGGUGGAAACGCCUUAUAAUACCCCAGUAACAACGGAGGCCCCAUGGCUUUUGUUGAAAGACACGUCGGAUCGGGAUGGGCUCGCGGACAUUAGCUAGUUGGCGGGUAACGCCCACCAAGGCGACGAUGUCUAGGGGUUCUGAGAGGAAGGUCCCCCACACUGGAACUGAGACACGGUCCAGACUCCUACGGGAGGCAGCGGUGAGGAAUAUUGGUCAAUGGCCGGAAGGCUGAACCAGCCAUGCCGCGUGCAGGAACCGAAGGCCCUACGGGUCGUAAACUGCUUUUGCGGUGGAGCAAUAAGGUGUACGUGUACACCGAUGAGAGUACAUCGCGAAUAAGCAUCGGCUAACUCCGUGCCAGCAGCGGC